rnacentral:rRNA from 1 species
UACGGAGGGGGCUAGCGUUGUUCGGAAUUACUGGGCGUAAAGCGCGCGUAGGCGGACCUGCAAGUCGGGGGUGAAAGCCCGAGGCUCAACCUCGGAACUGCCUUCGAUACUGCGGGUCUCGAGUCCGGGAGAGGUGAGUGGAAUUCCUAGUGUAGAGGUGAAAUUCGUAGAUAUUCGGAAGAACACCAGUGGCGAAGGCGGCUCACUGGACCGGUAUUGACGCUGAGGUGCGAAAGCGUGGGGAGCAAACGGGG